rnacentral:rRNA from 1 species
GACGAACGCUGGCGGCGUGCCUAAUACAUGCAAGUAGAACGCUGAAGGAGGAGCUUGCUUCUCCGGAUGAGUUGCGAACGGGUGAGUAACGCGUAGGUAACCUGCCUGGUAGCGGGGGAUAACUAUUGGAAACGAUAGCUAAUACCGCAUAACAGUAGAUAUCGCAUGAUAUCUGCUUGAAAGGUGCAAUUGCAUCACUACCAGAUGGACCUGCGUUGUAUUAGCUAGUUGGUGAGGUAACGGCUCACCAAGGCGACGAUACAUAGCCGACCUGAGAGGGUGAUCGGCCACACUGGGACUGAGACACGGCCCAGACUCCUACGGGAGGCAGCAGUAGGGAAUCUUCGGCAAUGGACGGAAGUCUGACCGAGCGACGCCGCGUGAGUGAAGAAGGUUUUCGGAUCGUAAAGCUCUGUUGUAAGAGAAGAACGAGUGUGAGAGUGGAAAGUUCACACUGUGACGGUAUCUUACCAGAAAGGGACGGCUAACUACGUG